UUUCCGUAGGUGAACCUGCGGAAGGAUCAUUCAUAAUAAGGGUUUUAUGGAACUUUUUUAAAUCCACAUCCAUCUUGUGUGUAAUGUCAGGGUCGAUUUUUCUCUCGCGAGGGCCAGCCCCAACCACCAACUAUACCACAUCUCUUUGUCUGAAACAUAUUAUGUAUAAAACAAUUCAAAAUAAAACUUUCAACAACGGAUCUCUUGGCUCUG
rnacentral:misc_RNA from 1 species